rnacentral:rRNA from 1 species
UACAGAGGUCUCAAGCGUUGUUCGGAUUCAUUGGGCGUAAAGGGUGCGUAGGUGGCGCUGUAAGUCAGGUGUGAAAUUUCGGAGCUUAACUCCGAAACUGCAUUUGAUACUGCGGUGCUUGAGGACUGGAGAGGAGACUGGAAUUUACGGUGUAGCAGUGAAAUGCGUAGAGAUCGUAAGGAAGACCAGUGGCGAAGGCGGGUCUCUGGGCCGAUACUGACGCUGAGGAGCGAAAGCGUGGGGGAGCGACAGG